AAUCAAACUGUUAUAGUUUUAUUACAUUUUAGUUUUUUAAUAAUAUUCGUAUAGCAGAUGCCUGUCCAUUGCUUAUUUAAAAAAACUCUAAUUCAAUAUUAGUUAUUAUUUUAUUGCCUACUUACAACCUAGGUACUGCCUAUGAUGUCAAUAAGAUUGGUUUUGUAACUUUAUCAAUUGUUUUCAUUCCAGUAAAAGGUGAGUUUUAAAAUAGAAAUAGUGGGUUAAAUCCCUGAAAAUAUAAUAUGCAGGCACCUAUUUGGUGUAUUUAAUGAAGAAGAUUAGUAGGUAUUUAUUAAAAAUGUUAAAUACAUUAUUGUCAUAUGGAUGAUUGUAAAUGUAGCACUUUUUUUUACUUGUAUUACACAUGUAGACACUCAUAUACUAUACAGCCAUAUAGGUAGGUAAGUAUCAUGAUUGUAUUCAAUUAAUCAAUAAGAAAAUACAAUUGUAACAAAUACAUUUUUUUUUUUUUUUUUAGUACCAUGAUUUCAAUAUUAUUUGUAGGAGCACAUAUUGUGGGGUUGUGCAUUGAUUCAUGUUUAAAAAAGGGUUGUAACCCUUUUUUUAACCAGCUGCUGUGGUUCAUUUUCAGAAUUAAAAAAGGGUGCGAAAAAAUCAAAAUGGCUUCUGUGCACAUAAAAAGGGUAAGUUAACCCUUCCUGAAUAUUAUAAUACAGUCUAAAUGGUUUUCUUUUUUUUUUUUUUUAUGCAUCGAGGUUGUAUAGCAGCGCUAGCAGUACAUAUGUUAGAGACUGCGCACCAUCGAUUGAAUCGCAUAUCAUUGGGGAACAGAGACCAGCGUUGUACAGUGAAGAAAAAAAAGGGUAAAUGGCUUUUACUUUUUAGCCAACCACAGUGCUUGAUGCAAAAGAAGCGAAAGAGUUCCUGCCGUAACGUUGUAGUUGUACCAUGUCGAUAGUAAUGCCACAGUUGUAUCGUUGUGUUCGACAAGCACACAUGUUUUGGUUUCAGUUAGUGCUCAUCUUAUUUUAUUUGGUUUUUAUAAACGUUUUUUUUUUUUGCUAAGUUCAUUUAAAUCAAAUUAAAUAUUUUUCUUUUUAGUGUAAACCUAUAAGUGUUUAUUUUUUUAUUAUUAUUAUUGUGAAGAGCCAGCCAAUAGGAUUAAUUAUUAAAAAUGUACACAACAUAUUUUGAUUACAAUGGUA